rnacentral:rRNA from 1 species
UGGGGAAUAUUGGACAAUGGGGGAAACCCUGAUCCAGCAAUACCGCGUGUGUGAAGAAGGCCUUAGGGUUGUAAAGCACUUUAGUUGGGGAGGAAGAUGUGUAUUUUAAGAGAUAAUACAUUUGACUGUACCCAAAGAAUAAGCACCGGCUAACUCUGUGCCAGCAGCCGCGGUAAUACAGAGGGUGCGAGCGUUAAUCAGAAUUACUGGGCGUAAAGGGCGCGUAGGCGGUUGUAUAAGUUAGAUGUGAAAUCCCUGGGCUUAACCUAGGAACUGCAUCUAAGACUGUACAACUAGAGUGCAGUAGAGGGUAGUGGAAUUUCCGGUGUAGCGGUGAAAUGCGUAGAUAUCGGAAGGAACACCAGUGGCGAAGGCGGCUACCUGGACUGACACUGACGCUGAGGCGCGAGAGCGUGGGGAGCAAACAG